UACAGAGGUCUCAAGCGUUGUUCGGAUUCAUUGGGCGUAAAGGGUGCGUAGGCGGCGCGGUAAGUCGGGUGUGAAAUCUCGGAGCUUAACUCCGAAACUGCAUUCGAUACUGCCGUGCUUGAGGACUGGAGAGGAGACUGGAAUUUACGGUGUAGCGGUGAAAUGCGUAGAUAUCGUAAGGAAGACCAGUGGCGAAGGCGGCUCGCUGGGCCAUUCCUGACGCUGAGACGCGAAAGCUAGGGGAGCGAACAGG
rnacentral:rRNA from 1 species